UACGUAGGGGGCAAGCGUUGUCCGGAAUCAUUGGGCGUAAAGAGCGCGUAGGCGGCCCUGUAAGUCCGCUGUGAAAGUCAAGGGCUCAACCCUUGGAUGCCGGUGGAUACUGCAGGGCUAGAGUGCAGAAGGGGCAACUGGAAUUCUCGGUGUAGCGGUGAAAUGCGCAGAUAUCAGGAGGAACACCGGUGGCGAAGGCGGGUCUCUGGGCCGUAACUGACGCUGAGGAGCGAAAGCGUGGGGAGCGAACAGG
rnacentral:rRNA from 1 species